GCGCUUGUGGCGAAAUUGGCAGACGCGCCAGACUUAGGAUCUGGUGUCGAAAGACGUGUAGGUUCGAGUCCUAUCAGGCGCA
rnacentral:tRNA from 1 species